GACGAACGCUGGCGGCGUGCUUAACACAUGCAAGUCGAACGAUGAAGCCUAGCUUGCUAGGUGGAUUAGUGGCGAACGGGUGAGUAAUACGUGAGUGACCUACCUUUGACUCUGGGAUAAGCCUGGGAAACUGGGUCUAAUACCGGAUACGACCAAUCUCCGCAUGGGGUGUUGGUGGAAAGCGUUAUGGAGUGGUUUUAGAUGGGCUCACGGCCUAUCAGCUUGUUGGUGAGGUAAUGGCUUACCAAGGCGACGACUGGUAGCCGGCCUGAGAGGGUGACCGGCCACACUGGGACUGAGACACGGCCCAGACUCCUACGGGAGGCAGCAGUGGGGAAUAUUGCACAAUGGGCGCAAGCCUGAUGCAGCGACGCCGCGUGAGGGAUGACGGCCUUCGGGUUGUAAACCUCUGUUAGCAUCGAAGAAGCGAAAGUGACGGUAGGUGCAGAGAAAGCGCCGGCUAACUACGUG
rnacentral:rRNA from 1 species